GACGAACGCUGGCGGCGUGCUUAACACAUGCAAGUCGAACGGAGCGAAUGAAAGCUUGCUUUUAUAAGCUUAGUGGCAAACGGGUGAGUAACACGUAGACAACCUGCCGACAGGAUGGGGACAACAUUCCGAAAGGAAUGCUAAUACCGAAUGAAGUGCAGGGGAGGCAUCUCCCCUGCAUGAAAGAUGGCCUCUAUAUAUAUGCUAUCACCUGUUGAUGGGUCUGCGUCUGAUUAGCUGGUAGGUGAGGUAACGGCUCACCUAGGCGACGAUCAGUAGCCGGUCUGAGAGGAUGAACGGCCACAUUGGGACUGAGACACGGCCCAGACUCCUACGGGAGGCAGCAGUGGGGAAUCUUCCGCAAUGGGCGCAAGCCUGACGGAGCAACGCCGCGUGAGUGAAGAAGGUCUUCGGAUCGUAAAGCUCUGUUGAUGGGGACGAACGUGCCUAAUGCGAAUAGUUUUAGG
rnacentral:rRNA from 1 species